rnacentral:rRNA from 1 species
AUGAAAAAUAUCAGUUUGUAUGUAGCACCACACGAAUAUAGAGUUGAGGCUGCACCAAUUGGUUGCGGUCCCUGUAGUGCGUUAUUUUGUCGCCCGGACGUGUUCGAAUCUGGCAACGGUUGUACUUGCGGGUAUGAGCCUUGGACGUCUGGUUGCGGCAGUGGCUGCGGGUUUGGGCUUGGCAGUGGUUGCGCCGGAGGCUGGGCGUUUGGGCCUGGCAGUGGUUGUGGCAGAGGCUGUGGUAAUGGCGGUGGUUGCAGGUUCGGGUUCGCCAGCGGUUCUGGCAAAGGCUGUGGUAAUGGCUAUGGGUUUGGGCCUGGCAGUGGUUGCGGUAAAGGCUGCGGUAGUGGCUGCUGGUUUGGGUCUGGCUUAGGCAAAGGUUGUGGGUUUGGGUCAGGUUGCGGGUUCGGAUUUGGCAGCGGUAUCGGCGGUGGCCCCGGCACCUGCUGCAAUUUCCGUUGUUGCGCCUGCACGCAUCCUGCAUCCUCCGCUGCCACGGCAACAACAACGAGGAGGAAGACGGUGCAUAUGAGACUAGACGAAGAGUGGUAG